ACCUCAGUAACGGCGAGUGAAGCGGUAACAGCUCAAAUUUGAAAUCUGGCCUCACGGUCCGAGUUGUAAUUUGUAGAGGAUGCUUUGAGCAUGGUCUGGCCUAAGUUCCUUGGAACAGGACGUCAUAGAGGGUGAGAAUCCCGUAUGCGGCCAGGUGCCUACGCUCAUGUGAAGCUCCUUCGACGAGUCGAGUUGUUUGGGAAUGCAGCUCAAAAUGGGUGGUAAAUUUCAUCUAAAGCUAAAUAUUGGCCAGAGACCGAUAGCGCACAAGUAGAGUGAUCGAAAGAUGAAAAGCACUUUGGAAAGAGAGUUAAACAGUACGUGAAAUUGUUGAAAGGGAAGCGCUUGCAACCAGACUUGCGCGCGGCCGAUCAUCCGGUGUUCUCACCGGUGCACUCGGCCGUGCUCAGGCCAGCAUCGGUUUUGGCGGCUGGAUAAAGGCCCUAGGAAUGUAGCUCCUCUCGGGGAGUGUUAUAGCCUAGGGUGCAAUGCAGCCUGCUGGGACCGAGGACCGCGCUUCGGCUAGGAUGCUGGCGUAAUGGUUGUAAGCGGCCCGUCUUGAAACACGGACCAAGGAGUCUAACAUCUAUGCGAGUGUUUGGGUGUCAAACCCAUACGCGUAAUGAAAGUGAACGGAGGUGAGAACCCUUAAGGGUGCAUCAUCGACCGGUCCUGAAGUUUACGGAAGGAUCUGAGUAAGAGCAUAGCUGUUGGGACCCGAAAGAUGGUG
rnacentral:rRNA from 1 species